rnacentral:rRNA from 1 species
AUGAACGCUGGCGGCGUGCUUAACACAUGCAAGUCGAACGAAGUGUUUAUUCAAAGUUCUUCGGGUUAAAAAUUAAUUUCCUUAUUGCCGGACGGGUAGUUAGCCCUUGGGUACCCUCCCUCCCCCAGGGGGUUACCAUUUGGAACCGCCUCCUAUUCCCCCAUAAGCCCCCCCCACCCCAUGGUCCGGGGUUAAAAGAUUUAUCGGUGUGAGAUGGACCUGCGUCUGAUUAGAUAGUUGGUGGGGUAGAAGCCUACCAAGUCAACGAUCAGUAGCCGACCUGAGAGGGUGAUCGGCCACAUUGGGACUGAGACACGGCCCAAACUCCUACGGGAGGCAGCAGUGGGGAAUAUUGGACAAUGGGGGAAACCCUGAUCCAGCAACGCCGCGUGAGUGAAGAAGUAUUUCGGUAUGUAAAGCUCUAUCAGCAGGGAAGAAAAUGACGGUACCUGACUAAGAAGCCCCGGCUAACUACGUG